GCCGCUGUAGCUCAGUGGUAGAGCACACCCUUGGUAAGGGUGAGGUCGUGGGUUCAAGUCCCACCAGCGGCU
rnacentral:tRNA from 1 species